CACCGCGGUUAGACGAGAGGCCCUAGUUGAUAAUUUAACGGCGUAAAGGGUGGUUAGGAGUAACAAAUUUUUUAAAGCCAAAUGGCCCCUUGGCCGUCAUACGCUUCUAGGCGUCCGAAGCCCUACAUACGAAAGUAGCUCUAAUAUGUGCCCGACCCCACGAAAGCUAAGAAA
rnacentral:rRNA from 1 species